UAAUCCCGCGUAAAUUUAGGCAUAUUACUAAGCGGAGGAAAAGAAACCAACGGGGAUGCCGAUAGUAACUGCGAGUGAAAUCGGCCAAGCCCAGCGCCGAAUCCUAUCGCUGGCAACGGUGACGGGAACUGUGGCGUGAAGAACGCUCUUACCGGUACGGUUGGUGUGCGUAAGUUCUCCUGAGUGAGGCUCCAUCCCAGGGAGGGUGCAAGGCCCGUAUCGCGCGCAACUGGUACCGGUGUAAGUGUUCGGAGAGUCGCCUUGUUUGUGAGUACAAGGUGAAGUCGGUGGUAAACUCCAUCGAAGGCUAAAUAUGACCACGAGUCCGAUAGCGAACAAGUACCGUGAGGGAAAAUUGAAAAGCACUUUGAAGAGAGAGCGAAACAGUGCGUGAAACCGCUCAGAGGCAAGCAGAUGGGGCCUCGAAGGCAAAGCAGCGAAUUCAGCUGGUGGUCUGCGUGGCCGGCCGGUGUAGAGAUCUUAACGACUCUUGCCGGUUGCGUUCUGCGUAGGUGCCAGUGCACUUUCGUUGCUUGUACGCCACUGCCGUUGAGUGAGCAUCCGUCGGGUUGACAUGUGAAGCCUUACUCCUUUACGGGCGUAGGUGCUUACAGUUGACUUCUGUACGCGUUUGCACCUCAACCGGUCAUGUCAGCAUGUGCCAGCGUUUGCGUUGGGCCGGUGCGCUCUGUCGGUUGUCGUGGGAUGACGAGCUUGCUCGGCUCCUCGACGAUCAGUGGAAUCGUGCUGGUUUUCAACGUCGGUACAUUGUAGAUUCAGUGGCGAGUAGACGGCUGCCCAUCUAACCCGUCUUGAAACACGGACCAAGGA
rnacentral:rRNA from 1 species